rnacentral:rRNA from 1 species
GAUGAACGCUAGCGGCAGGCCUAAUACAUGCAAGUCGAACGGUGUCUUCGGACAUAGUGGCGCACGGGUGCGUAACACGUAUGCAACCUACCUUACAUUGGGGGAUAGCCUUUCGAAAGGGAGAUUAAUACCGCAUAAGACAGUAGCUGGGCAUCCAGCAGCUGUUAAAGAUUUAUCGAUGUAAGCUGGGCAUGCGUCCAAUUAGCUAGUUGGUGAGGUAACGGCUCACCAAGGCAAUGAUUGGUAGGGGAACUGAGAGGUCAAUCCCCCACACUGGCACUGAGAGACGGGCCAGACUCCUACGGGAGGCAGCAGUAGGGAAUAUUGGGCAAUGGACGCAAGUCUGACCCAGCCAUGCCGCGUGCAGGAUGAAGGCCUUCGGGUUGUAAACUGCUUUUGUCAGGGAAGAAAUCUUCUGGGCUAAUACCCCGGGAGGAUGACGGUACCUGAAGAAUAAGCACCGGCUAACUACGUGCCAGCAGCCGCCGUAACAC